GUUGUGUCCAGAUGUCCACGGUUGUUCAAGUCAACUAGUAAGUAUUUCAAAACUACGAGAUUGUGUUGGGAUUAUGAAUAGGAUGCGAUUUGUUCCCCUUCAAUUGGGAGAAUCAAUCGGAAAUUAAAGGUUGUGUGUAGUAUAAUUGCCAUUCUCAUAUCUUAUUUUUCUUCCACCGAAUUAUUUUCCCUGUUGAAACAACUGUAACCUAGAUGCCACUACAUACACUUUCAGUAACUUUGUAGUAGCUGACCGAAGAACGAUGAAAUGGGGAGAAGCGAGAAUACGAAAGAAAACAAUAUACAGAGCUGUCACAUUUGUAGUAUGGUGCACUUGACCCAGUUGAGUCACGUUAGGUGGGUGCCAUUCUAUUUUUGCUGCUGAAUUUGUAGACUUGUUGGUGGCGGCAGUCAAAUAGCGUAGUGUUAUAACUCAGUAGGAAUAGAACACGGCAGUGUAGCUUGCUGAAUGUUGACCCUUUCUUUCCUGAAGCAUUAACUAGUGUUUCGUCAGAAAGUCAGAUUCUACUGGAAGUAUCCAGCAAGAAGUGAAUGUUUCGGUACAUUGCUGCUUCGGGUAUUGCAAGGGGUACCAUUGGGCUGUGGUUGGCAUUUAGAAACGAUUCAAGUCCAAAGUGUCGGAUGUCGCGUCGCGUCGAUGGAAAUCAUCACCUGGCGUGAAAAUGACUUGUCGUGCGAGUAAUACUCUUACAACGGAAGUGCGUUUCUACCCAGCCAGCAGCAGCUUGGGAGAGUAGUAGGAUGUAGCUGCUUUCGGAAAAUUGGAAGGUUGUGCCUGGGAAUGACUAGGUACGUGUGAACCUUUCACUUUGGAAGUAUCAACUUCACACGAAAACCAGUUGAACAUAGAAGCUGGUUCUUUUCGACUGAGGAGUAUGCCAUCGUAAGUAAACGAUUUGUAGUAACUAGUUUGGAAUUAUUGCAAUUUAAAAUUUAAUCAGUUUUAUUAUAAGUUAUGAUCAUGGUUUAGUUUGGUAACAGGGUUGUGUGGUACCAGAUGGAUGGAUGCUAAUCAGUGUUAUUACAAUGUUACAAACCUAUGC